AAGCAUCUCACCCGCUUUCCCAAGGUGUCCAAAGUCAAGAUGGAAUCUAAGGUUGCAGUCCAUACAAACACCUUCAUGUGAACCCCAACUUUCUUGAUAUUGUCCCAUGGAAUGACUUGUCGGUGGUACCCGUUGAAUCCCAUUUUAGCGAUUUAACAGAUAAUCUCUCACCAUUAGCUUUCCACACCAUCCUAUUCUCCCUUGGCCAUGCACCAUUCUCCUCAUAAAGAAUGUGAAUGAGUCACCCACUGCCUCCAAAUUCUAAUAAUGUAAAUACUAUGAUGUAUUAGUGAUCCUUAUGUAGUUUGAGACCCAAGGCAUCCUUAUCCACUGCAAUCUGAAACUAGUCGGGAAAAGCCCCACCGAUAAGGGAACAUCCCCACAUUAGGUCAUGCCAGAAUUUAACUUUCCUACCAUCUCCAGGGAUGAUUUCCCACGUCUUCUAGAAUACAUAUAAUGUAUAUGGCUUUUCAAAUAACAAAAUGUGUAUAUGGCGUAUAUGGAGUGCUACUGCAUUUAUUCAAUAUGCAUUUCAGUUGCUUAUGGAAGCCUGGAGUUCUCAUCCAGUAGUGUUAUAUGCAGUAAGACAUGAAAAUUCUAAUGCCUCUUUCCUAAGUGACCUUCAUGUCACUUGAUGCAUCAUAUGUUGGAUUUUGUUUAUUGCAGGGAUAAUUUCCUGUCAAAGGGGUUCAAACUGGUUCUGUAAGCUACUGGAAGAAGAAGUAGAAGAGGAGCUACAUGUCUGCGAGGAAGCUGAGAUUUCGACGUUUCUUCAUGCUUGCGAGGGCGAUGCAGUGACUAAGCUCACCAAUGAGAAAAUACCUUACUUUAAUGCUCCAAUUUAUCUUCAAAACAAGACCCAGAUUGGCAAAGUUGAAGAAAUUUUUGGUCCCAUCAAUGAAUUCCGUCUAUAUGUUGAAGACAUGAGAUCCACAAGGAGGGGGAACUGUAGGAGCAUGAAAGAAGAAAUUGGUAAACAUGCUGAUGUAACAACAAAACUAAGUAGCCAGCUGUUCUUGUCACCCAACAUAAGACACAUU